CUGUAAUCUCUUUCGAAAUUUGAUUUAUUUUUCAUUAAAUUUUUUAGCAACAAAUUGAUAUAAACCCCCAUUGUGCCAGACCAGUUUAUAUAACGCAAAGAUGUAAUAGAUGAAAGUUGGGUAUUGGUAAAAGAUUUACAUUUUGCAAAAACAAGGAAGGGGCAAACCGCAAACGGAAUUGCUGACUAAAUAGCAAGCCUUGAAUCGUAGCUAUAAGAGGUUUCUCUGCCAAUCCAGAGAAAAGAGAUAGGAAGAGGGACAAGGUGAAAAUAGAAGAGGUUCAGUCCACUACCAAGAAGCAGCGCAUAGCCACUCACACCCACAUCAAAGGCCUUGGUCUUGAGGCCAAUGGAAGAGCAGCACCUUGGGCUGCUGGCUUUGUGGGUCAGGGGGAGGCCAGAGAAGCUGUUGGUCUUCUUGUUGAUAUGAUACGGCAAAAGAAGAUGGCUGGUAAGGCACUUCUGAUGGUUGGACCUCCUGGAACUGGAAAGACAGCACUAGCUCUUGGAAUAUCCCAGGAGCUUGGCAGUAAGGUUCCAUUCUGCCCGAUGGUUGGAUCUGAAGUAUACUCAUCAAAAGUUAAGAAAACUGAGGUUUUAAUGGAAAAUUUUAGAUGAGCUAUUGGUCUACGUAUCAAGGAAAAUAAAGAGGUCUAUGAAGGAGAGGCAAGUCUCUAAUGAUACAUUCCCGACGAGGAACACAGCCACACGUGGGUGUCCAGAGAAUAUCGGCGGUUGCUGGGUUUUAUGAUUCGCAGCAGGCACAGAUGAUGACCAGCGGAUGAGCUAGAGAUUUUUGGCUAGCGGUGGCUUAGCGGAGUAUGACCAGUGGUGGUUGGCCAGAGGUGGUGGCUAGCGGAGGAAGCUUUGUCCAGCGGUGGUGGCCAGCGAAGGAAGCUUUGGCCAGCGGUUUUUGGUGCUGCGGUGAUUGGCGUUAGCGCUGUUUGUUUUUGGUAGUUUUUCGAUACCUCCACUAUUAUGGAGGAUUAUACAUAACAAAUCCUCCAUAAUAGUAGAGGUAUGUACACAAUCGAUAAACCUAGAAUCCUAUUACAUAACAAAAUUUUACAACCACAAUUAUAGGAUCCA